UCUGGUGGUUAGAGCGGAGUGGACCCACCCGUUCCCAUCCCGAACACGGAAGUGAAACGCUCCAGCGCAGACGAUACUGA
rnacentral:rRNA from 1 species